GUAGGGAAUAUUGCACAAUGGGGGAAACCCUGAUGCAGCAACGCCACGUGUGGGAAGAAGCAUUUCGGUGUGUAAACCACUGUCGUGAGGGAAUAAGGCAUCGUUUCGGCGAUGUUGAAUGUACCUCGAAAGGAAGCACCGGCAAACUUCGUGCCAGCAGCCGCGGUAAUACGAGGGGUGCAAGCGUUGUUCGGAAUCACUGGGCGUAAAGGGAGCGUAGGCGGAGAAGCAAGCGGACUGUACAAUACCGGGGCCCAACCCCGGACCUGCAGUUCGGACUGCUUUUCUUGGAUAGUUCAGGGGCAGGCGGAAUUCCUGGUGUAGCGGUGGAAUGCGUAGAGAUCAGGAAGAACACCGAUGGCGAAGGCAGCCUGCUGGGGACUCAUCGACGCUGAGGCUCGAAAGUGCGGGUAGCAAACAGGAUUAGAUACCCUAGUAGUCC
rnacentral:rRNA from 1 species